rnacentral:tRNA from 1 species
GAGGUUGUGGCUCAGUGGUUGAGCGCUCACCUAGCAUGGGCGAGGCCCUGGGUUCGAUCCUCAGCACUACA